rnacentral:tRNA from 1 species
GAUGGGGUGGCCGAGUGGUUAAGGCGCUGUCGUCAGGUGAUGUCUCACCUGGCAGUGGGAAACCGCGCGCGUUCGAAUCGCGUCCUCAUCA